UACGAAGGGGGCUAGCGUUGUUCGGAUUUACUGGGCGUAAAGCGCACGUAGGCGGAUCGUUAAGUCGGGGGUGAAAUCCUGGAGCUCAACUCCAGAACUGCCUUCGAUACUGGCGAUCUAGAGUCCGGAAGAGGUGAGUGGAACUCCUAGUGUAGAGGUGGAAUUCGUAGAUAUUAGGAAGAACACCAGUGGCGAAGGCGGCUCACUGGGCCGGUACUGACGCUGAGGUGCGAAAGCGUGGGGAGCAAACAGG
rnacentral:rRNA from 1 species